GAUGAACGCUGGCGGCGUGCCUAAUACAUGCAAGUCGAGCGAACAGACGAGGAGCUUGCUCCUCUGACGUUAGCGGCGGACGGGUGAGUAACACGUGGAUAACCUACCUAUAAGACUGGGAUAACUUCGGGAAACCGGAGCUAAUACCGGAUAACAUGUUGAACCGCAUGGUUCAACAGUGAAAGACGGUUUUGCUGUCACUUAUAGAUGGAUCCGCGUGGCAUUAGCUAGUUGGUAAGGUAACGGCUUACCAAGGCAACGAUGCGUAGCCGACCUGAGAGGGUGAUCGGCCACACUGGAACUGGGACACGGUCCAGACUCCUACGGGAGGCAGCAGUAGGGAAUCUUCCGCAAUGGGCGAAAGCCUGACGGAGCAACGCCGCGUGAGUGAAGAAGGUCUUCGGAUCGUAAAACUCUGUUAUUAGGGAAGAACAAAUGUGUAAGUAACUAUGCACGUCUUGACGGUACCUAAUCAGAAAGCCACGGCUAACUACGUG
rnacentral:rRNA from 1 species